rnacentral:rRNA from 1 species
CCUACGGGUGGCAGCAGUGAGGAAUAUUGGUCAAUGGACGAGAGUCUGAACCAGCCAAGUAGCGUGAAGGAUGACUGCCCUAUGGGUUGUAAACUUCUUUUAUAUGGGAAUAAAACGUUCCACGUGUGGGAUUUUGUAUGUACCAUAUGAAUAAGGAUCGGCUAACUCCGUGCCAGCAGCCGCGGUAAUACGGAGGAUCCGAGCGUUAUCCGGAUUUAUUGGGUGUAAAGGGAGCGUAGGUGGAUUGUUAAGUCAGUUGUGAAAGUUUGCGGUUCAACCGUAAAAUUGCAGUUGAAACUGGCAGUCUUGAGUACAGUAGAGGUGGGCGGAAUUCGUGGUGUAGCGGUGAAAUGCUUAGAUAUCACGAAGAACUCCGAUUGCGAAGGCAGUUCACUGGACUGCAACUGACACUGAGGCUCGAAAGUGUGGGUAUCAAACAGGAUUAGAUACCCUUGUAGUC